rnacentral:other from 1 species
UCAGCAGGGCUUAGAAUUGCUGGAGAAUUGACUUUGUGAAAAGACUAUCCUGUCUUGAAAUUCCAUCUCUUAGUUUUCCUUAAGAACAUACAGAAACC